rnacentral:rRNA from 1 species
AUUAAGCCUGCAUGUCUCAGUAUAAGCUUCUAUACGGCGAAACUGCGAAUGGCUCAUUAAAACAGUUAUAGUUUAUUUGGUGGUCAGCAAUUACAUGGAUAACCGUGGUAAUUCUAGAGCUAAUACAUGCGUCCAAACCCGACUUCGUGGAAGGGUUGUGUUUAUUAGAUACAGAACCAACCCAGGCUCCGCCUGGCCUUGAGGUGAUUCAUAAUAACCGAACGAAUCGCAUGGCUAUGCCGGCGAUAGACCAUUCAAGUUUCUGACCUAUCAGCUAUCGUCGGUAGGGUAUUGGCCUACCGUGGCAAUGACGGGUAACGGAGAAUUAGGGUUCGAUUCCGGAGAGGGAGCCUGAGAAACGGCUACCACAUCUAAGGAAGGCAGCAGGCGCGCAAAUUACCCAAUCCUGACGCAGGGAGGUAGUGACAAGAAAUAACAAUACAGGGCAUACAUGUCUUGUAAUUGGAAUGAGUAAACUUUAAAUCACUUUACGAGUAUCAAUUGGAGGG